CACGUAGGCGGCGCUCUAAGUCACGGUGUGAAAUCCCCCGGCUCAACCGGGGAACUGCACCUGAUACUGGAGCGCUCGAGGACGGUAGGGGUGAGUGGAACUCCAGGUGGAGCGGUGAAAUGCGUAGAUAUCUGGAGGAACACCGGUGGCGAAAGCGGCUCACUGGACCGUCUCUGACGCUGAGGUGCGAAAGCUAGGGUAGCAAACG
rnacentral:rRNA from 1 species